rnacentral:lncRNA from 1 species
UGUAUUUGAAACUUUCCUCAAUGGUAAGUAGGAAAUAAAUAUGAUACCUCCUCCAAACAGACAUUGUAGACAAUGAUUAUUGAAUCAUCCAUCGCUACAACAAUCACAUUGUUAUCAGAUGAGUGGCAAGCAAGACAUUGCUGCAGGUGUAAUAGGCAUGAUACUUUUCAUUUUCUGCAGUUAUCAAGAACAACAAGGAACAGUUUAUGAAAUCAAUAAUAGUAGGAUGAAAUCUCUAAGCUAUGGGGCAUUUCAAUUUUAAAGUAUUACUUGUUCGGGAGAAAUCAAAGAGCUCGGUGUCAUACAAAUUAAGGAUAACUGUAGAACAUAAAGCAAAUUCUGGAUUUAAGAAAUACAAAUCACAUGAAAGUAAAGUACCUGUUUAUACCCUGUUGUCAGUUUUCAUUCUUGAAAAUUCAAUUCCAUUAACACUUAACACUUACCGUAACUAACAUGAUUUGAUUACUUCAGUUUGGAACUGUAGGCAACUUUCUUGGGCAAAGGAACGGAUAUAGGGAAGGAGAAGCAUUUCAUUAUACAGCAUGUAAACUUCAUUUUUUUUAAUCACCUUAAACACGAGAGAAUAUUGAAAAUAGAGAUCGCUCAUCCGGAUAUCGAAAGUGCAUAAAAAUCAUUCUAGGUUAAAGCUACACAAGGUGAACAUGCUUUUGCAUCACUGCUGGACAGGCUGUUGGUCAACAACACCCCAUUUGUGGUUGGAAUAGUUGAGGAGUGCAUUUUGGUGUCGUUUACAACAUAAACACGUUGGUCAGCCGACAAACGUAAAUUUAUAACCCCUUUUCUUAUAGCCAAUAGAAGUUUCCCACAAGAGAGAUAUAUAAGCCUUUUUCUUGAAACUCCUUUACCUGACCAGUCAAAUUAGAAUCACUCUUCGACCUUUUUCAGAGUAGAUGAAUAUUAUCUACGACUAAAGCCAAAAGCAUAUUUCCUAGAUGAGUAUACAUCAAUCUCCACAUCAACCAAAUACCUCGGAGCACAAUGGAUUAUAGUUCAAUCAUUAUAUUUAUUCAAUAGGCGAUAAAAGAAAGCAACUAAGCAAAUAGUGUGCGUACGUGCUACAGAUAACUGUAUCAGCUGCUAAUGAUCUAGAGUUUCUAGGCAUGGUAUUUUUUUUCAGGGUAGACAUGAUUUCAAAAUUUUCAAUCCAAUAGCUAAAAGUAAUAAAUAGAAAAAUAAUAUCCAUAAGCAUAAAUCAUGGAAAAAUAUUUACUUUUCAAAGUAAGAUUAAAGAAAGAACUAAGGUUGGUUUAUGAAUAGUCCAUUAAAUUCUAAAGAUGAGACAGUCAUAACCAUACACAUGGAUCGCGUUCACAGUCUUUUCAUCAUCUUUUUUUUGAGAACUAAAUGAUCCAUUACUUUAGAGUUUCUCUGUCAAUAGAUAUACUUGGCAGACUUGGUUGUUCUUGAGAAAGUUUUUUAAUGAAGGCAAGACAAAGAUGUUUAAGUCAUACAUCUUCACCAUGCUUUAAUUUUAUAGCAACAUCAUUAUUGCCAACUUAAGAUGUUUAAAGAAAAUAAAACUACCAAAUUAUAGAAUACACACCUUGGGCGAGCUAGUACAGUGUCGAAGACCAUUGUUUGGAGGAUUUUCCAUAUGCAACAAGUAUCAUAUCCAUCUAAUAAAUGCAGAUAUCCAACUGCAUGAGAUGUUGAUUGUGGGUAGAAAAAACUUAUGGUCACCAACACUGUUUGAUUAAUUAUAGUUUAAGCAAGAUACAAAUAAAAAUAAUAAUUAAUGAACUAUGAUCAAUUCCAAACUAAUUUGUGUACUCUAUAUGAAUACCUCUCACUUAUUCUAAGAGAGAAAAUGAAAAAUAUAAAAAAGGAAAAGGAACUGUAAUAUAAUUUUCCAAGUAGUAAAUACCAUUCAAUAAAUUCACAAAGACACAUAAUAAACCUUUCAUUGAGAAACACAACUUUGAUAGAAGAACCUUCAGCAUAUUCAAAUGUCAACAUGUGCGUCACAUCAUCAAAAAUAUACAGAACUGGAGUUGAAAUUCAUAGCCUUUUUUUCUAACUUCAGUUAUGUAGCGGGUCACCUGUUCCAACAUUACAUUAUCUUAAAAGUCAUGCAAGGAUACUGAUAAAAAAUAAUUCACUAAUCUCAACUAAUCAUAUUUAAGUGUUUGAGAGUGUGCUUUGUGUACAAAUUUGAUACUUGUAACAGUACAUCUCUUUAUCACAAAACGUGACUUGAGUACUCUCUGAAAAAGAAGUUUGAAUAGCGGUAAGGAUGCACAUGAUAUUGACAAAAUGAACAGCUAAAGUCAGCAUUAUCGGGCUUCUAUAUGCUACUAUUGAUACUAUUCAAAAUUCACAAACCAAAGUAACCAUUGUUUCGAGAGUUAAAUGAGGAAUAAGCUUUUAUAAAAUAAAUAUAGAACAAAGCAAGUAACUUACCGUCGUGCCUUGCUUGACCAAAAUUAAGGAGUUUUCUUUUACUUCUAAAUUGAUUUUCAUUUUCCAAGAAGAAUAACUGCAUCAACAACACAAUAACCACUUUAGGAAAUCUAAAGCAAGAACUUUAGACCCGCAAGUAGCUAUAAUAAGUGAAACUACAUAGCUAUACCAGGACACCAAUAACAGAAGUAAUAUGAGAAAAUACAUAUAAACACAUAAGGAGUUUUCUUUUACUUCUAAAUUGAUUUUCAUUUUCCAAGAAGAAUAACUGCAUCAACAACACAAUAACCACUUUAGGAAAUCUAAAGCAAGAACUUUAGACCCGCAAGUAGCUAUAAUAAGUGAAACUACAUAGCUAUACCAGGACACCAAUAACAGAAGUAAUAUGAGAAAAUACAUAUAAACACAUAAGGAGUUUUCUUUUACUUCUAAAUUGAUUUUCAUUUUCCAAGAAGAAUAACUGCAUCAACAACACAAUAACCACUUUAGGAAAUCUAAAGCAAGAACUUUAGACCCGCAAGUAGCUAUAAUAAGUGAAACUACAUAGCUAUACCAGGACACCAAUAACAGAAGUAAUAUGAGAAAAUACAUAUAAACACAUAAUAAGCUAAAAUGAAGUCAUUCUAAAGACCAAAAUUGUAUCAUAUUGCUCUUCAUCAAACAUGGAUAUAACGACCAAAUAUCUUAAAUACUUGAUGGAUAUGCAACCAUUAUAUACCAUGAUAUGCUUGUCCAAACGAAUGAUGUUGAAUAUUGUCGAGCAUUUAUGGAAUAUCAAACAAAUUCUUGAUUUACUUGCUUUGAGUAAUUUUGAAAUUUAAUCACCCAAACUAGUAAUGCCACAUUAGGCAUAUCCGAACGAAUCUCGACAAAUAUUGUCAAACACUAAUGAAAUCAAACAAUUUCUUAUUUUUCCCAUUUCGAGUUACUCCGAAAUUUGAUCUCCCAAAUCAGUAUAGGCCACCUACAUUAGGCAUAUCCUAACAAAUGCCGAUGAAUAUUGUCCCAAAAAUGGAAUCAAAUAAUCUCUUGCUUUUUCCAGCUUCGAGUUACUCCAAAAUUUGAUCUCUCAAAAGUUCCCCAAAAAAGAUAGUGGGAUUGUUACAUUUCUUCAAAGCCAUGGCAAAUAAAACAAUACACACUCCAAAUGAAUCUAUUCCUCGCUUAAAUGUACCUGAAAUUGCCGACGCUUUGUG